rnacentral:tRNA from 1 species
CGCGGCGUGGCUCAGUGGAAAGAGCCUGGGCUUUGGAGUCAGAGGUCAUGGGUUCGAAUCCCGGCUCUGCCC